GGGCGCGUGGUGGAGUGGUUACCACGUCCGCUUUGCACUGAACGUAUCAGCGGUAGGUCGCGGGUUCAAAUCCCGUCGUGUCCA